rnacentral:rRNA from 1 species
AUUGAACGCUGGCGGCAGGCCUAACACAUGCAAGUCGAACGAGUGGCGGACGGGUGAGUCAUGUCUGGGAAACUGCCCGAGGGAGGGGGAUAACUACUGGAAACGGUAGCUAAUACCGCAUACCAUCGGAUGUGCCCUGAUGGGGUUAGCUAGUAGGUGGGGUAAAGGCUUACCUAGGCGACGCUCCCUAGCUGGUCUGAGAGGAUGACCAGCCACACUGGAACUGAGACACGGGCCAGACUCCUACGGGAGGCAGCAGUGGGGAAUAUUGCACAAUGGGCGAAAGCCUGAUGCAGCCAUGCCGCGUGUAUGAAGAAGGCCUUCGGGUUGUAAAGUACUGUCAGCGAGGAGGCGUUACUCGCAGAAGAAGCACCGGCUAACUCCGUGCCAGCAGCCGCGGUAAUAC